rnacentral:rRNA from 1 species
AGGCUUGGGAUUCGUGGCUCAGAUUGAACGCUGGCGGCAUGCUUUACACAUGCAAGUCGAACGGUAACAGGUCUUCGGAUGCUGACGAGUGGCGAACGGGUGAGUAAGGCAUCGGAACGUGCCCAGUCGUGGGGGAUAACGCAGCGAAAGCUGUGCUAAUACCGCAUACGAUCUGCGGAUGAAAGCGGGGGACCUUAGGGCCUCGCGCGAUUGGAGCGGCCGAUGUCAGAUUAGGUAGUUGGUGGGGUAAAGGCUCACCAAGCCAACGAUCUGUAGCUGGUCUGAGAGGACGACCAGCCACACUGGGACUGAGACACGGCCCAGACUCCUACGGGAGGCAGCAGUGGGGAAUUUUGGACAAUGGGCGCAAGCCUGAUCCAGCAAUGCCGCGUGCAGGAAGAAGGCCUUCGGGUUGUAAACUGCUUUUGUACGGAACGGAAAAGCUCUGGGUUGAUACCCUAGGAAGUCAUGACGGUACCGUAAGUAAUAGCACCGGGUAU